CCUACGGGUGGCAGCAGUAGGGAAUAUUGCACAAUGGGGGAAACCCUGAAGCAGCAACGCCGCGUGGAGGAUGAAGGUUUUAGGAUUGUAAACUCCUGUUGUGAGAGAAGAAAAUGACGGUAUCUCACGAAUAAGCACCGGCUAACUCCGUGCCAGCAGCCGCGGUAAUACGGAGGGUGCAAGCGUUACGCCGAAUCACUGGGGGUAAAGGGUGCCGGGGCGGGUUUGGGAGUCAGAUGGGAAAUCCUGUAGCUUAACUCCAGAACUGCGUUUGGAACUAUGAGUCUAGAGUGGGGGAGGGGUAGGUGGAAUUCUUGGUGUGAGGGUAGAAUCCGUA
rnacentral:rRNA from 1 species